CCCCUAGAUGUUCUGGGCCGCACGCGCGCUACACUGAACAGUUCAACAAGUCUUAACCUUGGCCGAUAGGUCUGGGUAAUCUUUGAACGCUGUUCGUGAUUGGGAUAGACCUUUGCAAUUAUGGGUCUUCAACGAGGAAUUCCUGGUAAACGCAAGUCAUCAGCUUGCAUUGAUUACGUCCCUGCCCUUUGUACACACCGCCCGUCGCACCUACCGAUUGAAUGGUCCGGUGAAAUCUCGGGACGGCGGCUUGGUCGCUUGCGUCCGACUGCUGAAACUUGAUUAAACCAUAUCAUUUAGAGGAAGGUGAAGUCGUAACA
rnacentral:rRNA from 1 species